CACUGGGGGACAGCAGGGCUUGUUGGAGGCAGUGUUAAGUAGACAGUUUGGGAGCUGGCUGUGAGUUUUAGCAGCUGAUUCAACCAAACCACCUGCGCAUAGCCUGGUUCCACCUUGUUUUGCCUACUGCAAAUUAAGAGAGAGCAGAAUGCCGUUUUAAAGUCAAUUAUGCUAAAAGUCUCACAACUUGUCAAAAAUAUGAAGCUUCUGAGAUGUGGAGCAUGGAAGAGACAGCAGAAAUUCUGAUUCAUCACCAAAGUGUUUGAUACACCAAGCAUCCAGCUUCAACCAAAAGAAACGAGUGAGCUUCCAAAAAUGUUCCUUUGUAGAUAAGAUGUCGUCUACUUUCCUACCUGGGAGAGGAGCUGAAUGAGCAAGGCCAGCCUGAAUGCCUCAAACUCCUGGGGAAUUUUCUCUUGGAAGCCAGUGGCAGCUUCACAUCUUUGUGUUAAUGUGUGACCAGGAAUAUGCCAAUUUGAUUCACUGCUCUGGAAAUACAGAGAGAGAGAUGGAAUGGAGUUCAAGCAAGGAAAGUCAAGAUAGAUCAUAU
rnacentral:lncRNA from 1 species